GUCGAGAAUCUUUCACAAUGGGGGCAACCCUGAUGGAGCGACGCCGCGUGGAGGAUAAGGUCUUCGGAUUGUAAACUCCUGUCAUGCGUGAACAAGGUUGCUUGGUUAAUACCUGGGCAAAUUGAUGGUAACGCAAGAGGAAGAGACGGCUAACUCUGUGCCAGCAGCCGCGGUAAUACAGAGGUCUCAAGCGUUGUUCGGAAUCACUGGGCGUAAAGGGUGCGUAGGUGGCGUGGUAAGUCAGAUGUGAAAGCCCGGGGCUCAACCUCGGAACUGCAUCCGAUACUGCCAUGCUAGAGUAAUGGAGAGGUGACUAGAAUUCUCGGUGUAGCAGUGAAAUGCGUAGAUAUCGAGAGGAAUACCAAAGGCGUAGGCAGGUCACUGGACAGUUACUGACACUGAGGCACGAAGGCCAGGGGAGCGAACGGGAUUAGAAACCCCGGUAGUCC
rnacentral:rRNA from 1 species